UAGAUAGUUUGUUUUGUAUAAUUUUGUCAAUUAUUUAGAAUUAACUAAAUUUUGUGAUUCUGUCUUUGCAGGACAUGGACAUCGGCCACCAUGUGAAUGGCCUGCGUAAGCACCCAUCCAACGAGGUCCGGCAACUGGUGAAGCUGCUCGUUAGGAAAUGGAAGGAAAUAGUGGAUGAUUGGGUGAGGCUGCACAACUCAGGUGGUGAUGGUAGUGGCUCCAUCAUAUGCGAUGGUGACU